AGCGAACGCUGGCGGCGUGCUUAACACAUGCAAGUCGAGUGCGCGUUUCGUAGCAAUACGGGAUGGCGCACGGCGCACGGGUGAGGAACACGUGGGCAACAUGCCCUCUGAUGGGGAAUAACCCCGCGAAAGCGGGGCUAAUACCGCAUAAGAUUCCGGGGACCUCGGUCCCUGGACUGAAAGCCCGCAAGGGCGUCGGAGGAGUGGCCCGCGGCCGAUUAGCUUGUUGGCGGGGUAACGGCCCACCAAGGCAAUGAUCGGUAGCCGGUCUGAGAGGACGACCAGCCACACUGGGACUGAGACACGGCCCAGACUCCUACGGGAGGCAGCAGUAGGGAAUCUUGCGCAAUGGGCGAAAGCCUGACGCAGCAACGCCGCGUGGGGAUGACGGCCUCGG
rnacentral:rRNA from 1 species